AUUGAACGCUGGCGGCAGGCUUAACACAUGCAAGUCGAGCGGAGAUGAGGUGCUUGCACCUUAUCUUAGCGGCGGACGGGUGAGUAAUGCUUAGGAAUCUGCCUAUUAGUGGGGGACAACAUUCCGGAAGGAAUGCUAAUACCGCAUACGCCCUACGGGGGAAAGCAGGGGAUCUUCGGACCUUGCGCUAAUAGAUGAGCCUAAGUCGGAUUAGCUAGUUGGUGGGGUAAAGGCCUACCAAGGCGACGAUCUGUAGCGGGUCUGAGAGGAUGAUCCGCCACACUGGGACUGAGACACGGCCCAGACGCCUACGGGAGGCAGCAGUGGGGAAUAUUGGACAAUGGGCGGAAGCCUGAUCCAGCCAUGCCGCGUGUGUGAAGAAGGCCUUUUGGUUGUAAAGCACUUUAAGCGAGGAGGAGGCUACCUGGAUUAAUACUCUAGGAUAGUGGACGUUACUCGCAGAAUAAGCACCGGCUAACUCUGUGCCAGCCGCCGCCGUAAGAC
rnacentral:rRNA from 1 species